UCCGAUUGAUAUUGGAUUCGAAGGCUGCUUGUAUCAGAGGUUGUAGGCAUAUUUGUGUUAUGUUAGUUAAUUGUGGGGUUUAAUUAUGUUUUUGAACUAUGAUUUAUUGCCUAAGCUCUGCAGUUGGGGGAAAUGCACAUGAAGUGUUUGUGAAAUUGCUUGAGGGGAAAUUUAGGUUUUUUUUUUUGUUUUAUUUGUUAUUUUCCUAGUUCUGUAUGUGAGUUGCUAGCUUUGUUUGUGAACUAUAUGUGGGGAAAUUAUAAUGUUUUGUUAGAUUAUAGAGAGUAAUUGUGAUUAACUUGAAAUGAUUUUGGAGAUUUAUAGUCUUUAGGCGCGUGGUUUGUGGGA
rnacentral:lncRNA from 1 species